AGAGCGAACGCUGGCGGCAGGCCUAACACAUGCAAGUCGAGCGGCCGUAGCAAUACGGCAGCGGCAGACGGGAUAGUAACACGUGGGAACGCGCCCUUCGGUUCGGAAUAACUCAGGGAAACUUGAGCUAAUACCGGAUACGCCCUAACGGGGAAAGAUUUAUUGCCGAAGGAACGGCCCGCGUCCGAUUAGCUAGUUGGUGAGGUAAUGGCUCACCAAGGCGACGAUCGGUAGCUGGUCUGAGAGGAUGACCAGCAUCACUGGGACUGAGACACGGCCCAGACUCCUACGGGAGGCAGCAGUGGGGAAUAUUGGACAAUGGGCGCAAGCCUGAUCCAGCCAUGCCGCGUGGAUGAUGAAGGCCUUAGGGUUGUAAAGUCCUUUUAACGGGGAAGAUAAUGACGGUACCGUAGAAUAAGCCCCGGCUAACUUCGUGCCAGCAGCCGC
rnacentral:rRNA from 1 species